CCGAGGCAGCCUGGCUUAG
rnacentral:miRNA from 1 species